GAUCAUGGCUCAGGAUGAACGCUGGCGGCGUGCCUAACACAUGCAAGUCGAACGGGGUUAAGUGAAAUUUCGGAUGGAGCUUAACUUAGUGGCGGACGGGUGAGUAACGCGUGGAUAACCUGCCUCACACUGGGGGAUAGCAGCUGGAAACGGCUGGUAAUACCGCAUAAGACCACAGCACCGCAUGGUGCAGGGGUAAAAGAUUUAUCGGUGUGAGAUGGAUCCGCGUCUGAUUAGCCAGUUGGCGGGUAACGGCCCACCAAAGCGACGAUCAGUAGCCGGCCUGAGAGGGUGAACGGCCGCAUUGGGACUGAGACACGGCCCAAACUCCUACGGGAGGCAGCAGUGGGGAAUAUUGCACAAUGGGCGCAAGCCUGAUGCAGCAACGCCCGCGUGAGUGAAGAAGUAUUUCGGUAUGUAAAGCUCUAUCGGCAGGGAAGAAAGGCCCGAAAGGGAGAUGACGGUACCUGACUAAGAAGCCCCGGCUAACUACGUGCCAGCCGCUGC
rnacentral:rRNA from 1 species